CCUACGGGCGGCAGCAGUGAGGAAUAUUGGUCAAUGGACGAGAGUCUGAACCAGCCAAGUAGCGUGAAGGAUGACUGCCCUAUGGGUUGUAAACUUCUUUUAUAUGGGAAUAAAAUGUUCCACGUGUGGGAUUUUGUAUGUACCAUAUGAAUAAGGUUCGGCUAACUCCGUGCCAGCAGCCGCGGUAAUACGGAGGAUCCGAGCGUUAUCCGGAUUUAUUGGGUUUAAAGGGAGCGUAGGUGGAUUGUUAAGUCAGUUGUGAAAGUUUGCGGCUCAACCGUAAAAUUGCAGUUGAAACUGGCAGUCUUGAGUACAGUAGAGGUGGGCGGAAUGCGUGGUGUAGCGGUGAAAUGCUUAGAUAUCACGAAGAACUCCGAUUGCGAAGGCAGUUCACUGGACUGCAACUGACACUGAGGCUCGAAAGUGUGGGUAUCAAACAGGAUUAGAUACCCCGGUAGUC
rnacentral:rRNA from 1 species